rnacentral:misc_RNA from 1 species
GAUGAAGAACGUAGCGAAAUGCGAUACGUAAUGUGAAUUGCAAAUUCAGUGAAUCAUCGAGUCUUUGAACGCACAUUGCGCCCCCUGGUAUUCCGGGGGGCAUGCCUGUCCGAGCGUCAUUGCUGCCCUCAAGCACGGCUUGUGUGUUGGGCCCCGUCCUCCGAUCCCGGGGGACGGGCCCGAAAGGCAGCGGCGGCACCGCGUCCGGUCCUCGAGCGUAUGGGGCUUUGUCACCCGCUCUGUAGGCCCGGCCGGCGCUUGCCGAUCAACCCAAAUUUUUUAUCCAGGUUGACCUCGGAUCAGGUAGGGAUACCCGCUGAACUUAGGCAUAUCAAUAAGCGGAGGG